rnacentral:rRNA from 1 species
AGAUUGAACGCUGGCGGCACGCCUUACACAUGCAAGUCGAACGGCAGCACGGACUUCGGUCUGGUGGCGAGUGGCGAACGGGUGAGUAAUAUAUCGGAACGUACCCUGGAGUGGGGGAUAACGCAGCGAAAGUUGCGCUAAUACCGCAUACGAUCUACGGAUGAAAGUGGGGGCUCGCAAGACCUCAUGCUCGUGGAGCGGCCGAUAUCUGAUUAGCUAGUUGGUAGGGUAAAAGCCUACCAAGGCACCGAUCAGUAGCUGGUCUGAGAGGACGACAGCCACACUGGGACUGAGACACGGCCCAGACUCCUACGGGAGCAGCAGUGGGAAUUUGGACAAGUGGGGCAACCCAGACUCCAGCAAUGCCGCGUGAGUGAAGAAGGCCUUAGGUGUAAGCUCUUUGUCGAGGAAGAAACGGU